rnacentral:rRNA from 1 species
AGAGUUUGAUCCUGGCUCAGGAUGAACGCUAGCUACAGGCUUAACACAUGCAAGUCGAGGGGAAACGACAUCGAAAGCUUGCUUUUGAUGGGCGUCGACCGGCGCACGGGUGAGUAACGCGUAUCCAACCUGCCCACCACUUGGGGAUAACCUUGCGAAAGUAAGACUAAUACCCAAUGAUAUCUCUAGAAGACAUCUGAAAGAGAUUAAAGAUUUAUCGGUGAUGGAUGGGGAUGCGUCUGAUUAGCUUGUUGGCGGGGUAACGGCCCACCAAGGCAACGAUCAGUAGGGGUUCUGAGAGGAAGGUCCCCCACAUUGGAACUGAGACACGGUCCAAACUCCUACGGGAGGCAGCAGUGAGGAAUAUUGGUCAAUGGGCGAGAGCCUGAACCAGCCAAGUAGCGUGCAGGAUGACGGCCCUAUGGGUUGUAAACUGCUUUUAUAAGGGAAUAAAGUGAGUCUCGUGAGACUUUUUGCAUGUACCUUAUGAAUAAGGACCGGCUAAUUCCGUGCCAGCAGCCGCGGUAAUACGGAAGGUCCAGGCGUUAUCCGGAUUUAUUGGGUUUAAAGGGAGCGCAGGCGGACCUUUAAGUCAGCUGUGAAAUACGGCGGCUCAACCGUCGAACUGCAGUUGAUACUGGAGGUCUUGAGUGCACACAGGGAUACUGGAAUUCAUGGUGUAGCGGUGAAAUGCUCAGAUAUCAUGAAGAACUCCGAUCGCGAAGGCAGGUAUCCGGGGUGCAACUGACGCUGAGGCUCGAAAGUGCGGGUAUCAAACAGGAUUAGAUACCCUGGUAGUCCGCACAGUAAACGAUGAAUACUCGCGAUUUGCGAUACACAGUAAGUCGCCAAGCGAAAGCGUUAAGUAUUCCACCUGGGGAGUACGCCGGCAACGGUGAAACUCAAAGGAAUUGACGGGGGCCC